GUGCUAUUGCUCCAGCCCGUGUCCUAACUCUUGAGGAAAGGCUUGUGAUAUGAUGUGAUAGCUGGGGUUAAAAAAUGCAAUAUUUAAAAAAAAGCCAUGCGUCUUAUAAGUCCUGGUGUAAAGACACUCUGAGUUUGUAACUCACAGGUACAACU